rnacentral:rRNA from 1 species
UACGUAGGGGGCUAGCGUUGUCCGGAAUCAUUGGGCGUAAAGCGCGUGUAGGCGGUCCGGUAAGUCCGCUGUGAAAGUCGGGGGCUCAACCCUCGGAUGCCGGUGGAUACUGUCGGGCUUGAGUACGGAAGAGGCGAGUGGAAUUCCUGGUGUAGCGGUGAAAUGCGCAGAUAUCAGGAGGAACACCAAUUGCGAAGGCAGCUCGCUGGGACGUUACUGACGCUGAGACGCGAAAGCUAGGGGAGCGAACAGG